rnacentral:lncRNA from 1 species
CCUAAACCCUAAACCCUAAACCCUAAACCCUAAACCCUAAACCCUAAACCCUAAACCCUAAACCCUAAACCCUAAACCCUAAACCCUAAACCCUAAACCCUAAACCCUAAACCCUAAACCCUAAACCCUAAACCCUAACCCUAAACCCUAAACCCUAAACCCUAAACCCUAAACCCUAAACCCUAAACCCUAAACCCUAAACCCUAAACCCUAAACCCUAAACCCUAAACCCUAAACCCUAAACCCUAAACCCUAAACCCUAAACCCUAAACCCCUAAACCCUAAACCCUAAACCCUAAACCCUGGUGUCGCACUUCGCCGCGAGCGCUCUGUUCUCCGCCGCGAGCGCGCUGUUCUCCGCCGCGAGCGCGUCGAUCCGCCCGACGACGGCGUCGUCCGACGAUCGGACGCCGUCUCCGCCUCCCGCGGUCGCGCCAUCGCGCGCGCUCCUUCCCCGCCUCGGAGGCGCCACCUCGUUCGUCGCGAGGACGCGCGCGCGACGCAAAAGAACCCGCGGACGACGACGACGACGACGACGACGACGCGACGGGCGGCGCGGUGCGCGACGGACAGAACGCGAUCGAGAUUUCGGGCGCAGCUUCUGUUCUGUUUUUUCCUGUCCUGCAGACCUGUCCUGCAGUUUCAGAACGAAAUUUAAUCGGCGCCGACGCGCAGAAGCCGCGGCGCCGCUCCCACCACACGCACAAGGGAACUCGAUCGCACGCG